AUCUUAUUCUGGAAUGUGGAGCCAAACUGUUCAGCAGAGUAAAAUCUAAGGAUUCCUUCUCCACCCCUCAGCUGCCACCUCACCACCACCAUUGGAAGAAGUGUUGUACUUCUCGAUUAUUUUUUGUAGGUCUUCAGGGAUGCCAGAGGCCUGGAUUUCUGGAAGGUAACCCUUCUUAAUGGUUAGGUAAAACAGUAGGCUUCCCACAACCAGGUGUAAUGUGGUCCUUUAGCAAAUGAGUAUUCAUGUCACUACUCCUGUCUUGAAAUAAGGAGAUUUAAAAGCAUUGAUCUUAUAGAGAUAGCAAUAUUAUAGAAGUAAGCAUAUUUUGAGAAAAAGAAAUCUAAAAAAAAUGAAUGCUGGAAAAGAAAAAUUACACCAUACUAAGUAUGGCUAGUUGUGUCUUUAUUUGAAUUAGAUAUGGCAAAAAAUACCAAAAGAGAAUAUUGAUAAAGACAUCAGAAUCUUAAAGCCAGUGAGACAUAUAGGAAGAGGUAUCUGUGAAGCUGAGAGAAAUCUUUGCUCUUAAUCUUUAAUAAGGAAAUUGGAGAAAGUUUUACUUCAGAUGCUAGAGCCUGCAGUUAGAUUUUUUACUUGCUGGUCCCUGAAAGAUUUAAUGACUUCUCACUUCUGUUCAUUUGCUUAUUUCUUUUGCUUUCUUGUAUUUCCUGUGUCUAGGUGUUAUUUAAAGUUGUAAUCGCCCUUAUAGACUCUGUUUAGAUGUCACUUGAUCCAAGAAAUUCUGCCCCAUUUGCACAAACCAAAAAUGAUUUUUUAAUGUUCUUUCAGCAUUUUAUGUGCUACAGACAACACUUAAUAUAAAUCUUCUGAUAUUCUCUAGUAUGUGGAGCAAUAGCUUUAUAGGUUAAGGAGCAUAUUUCAUUUGGCAUUAGUAAUGUUUAUUUUGUCUUUAGUAUACAGUACAUACAUACAGUGAGGUUUCGAUUGCAGGAGACUUGUGCGUACUGAUGUACUAUCACCAUGAGACAGUGAGAAGAUGUAUUCUUGAAAGACAGACUGAUAGCUUAGAACUAUCAGCAAAGAAAGAAUGGGAAGGUAGUGGCACCAGUUGGAAACCUGGAGACUCUUCCUUAAAGCUAAUGUUCCUGCUGACUCUGCCAAAAGUACUUGAAGCAAGACCAAAUCUUGAUGCUUUCUGAUGAAUCAGUCAAGUAUACACCCUAAACAUUGGGUCCAAAUACUCUCACCAAGAUGGUUUCCUAUCCAGAAGACCAAGGUAUUUCCGACUUUCCUUUAGUUUUAUUUCUGCCAAAUUCUUGAGGGCCAGGAGCUAAUCCACUAGAACAGCAUUUCCCUGUAGCUUGGUUUUUAAUUGUGUUCUGAAUUUAGUUUAUAUUCCUAAAUAGUUUUACAAGUUUUUUUUCUCCCCAUGCCCUCAGAGGAAGUUAUGUGCUUCUGAACCUCUCGGGUACCAUUUUAGUAAAUUAAGAAUUCAGUUCACUGAAUGAUACCCCUGUGACCUGAAAGAGUUAAUACAAGUUUCUUAAGUACCUUAUUAAUUCCCAGGGAAUAAUUUAUGCAUUAGAGUGUAGUUUAGUAACUCGUCACUUACACACUACAGAAAUUUCCCCCUCUUUGGAAAGUAGAUUUGAGCCUCUGAAAACAAAGGGAGAUUGAGCUUAAAGAAUCAUGUUUCAUAAAUAAUGUAAACAUGUAACAUUUAGGUGAGAGAAGGUAUUGUUUUAAUAAUGAAGAUGAAGCAGUUUCAAAUCCUAGCUUACCCUGUACUUUUAUGAGACUUUGGUAGAUUAACUUCUCUGUUUUUCUUAUCUCUAAAGUGAGGAUGAUGUUUAUGUCAGAGACAACAUGGAAUAGUGGGUUAAACAGUCAUUGUGCCUAGGUUAUGCACUAAAACUUGGGUUCAGUUUCUGGUUUCACUCCUUGAUAGCUGUGUGACUUUAUGCUUAAACUCUCUGAUUCUGCUUUUUUUCUACUUGUAAGCUGGAAUUAAUACUAGUACCUAAUUCAUAAAGUUGUUGUGAAGAGUACCAACUCAAUAAUGUGAGCUCUUUUUAUUACUCAUCAGUGUGACUUUUGGAGCAGAUGAAAUGAAGUAGGGGAUAAAAAGUGCCAAGUGCUGUGUCUAGGACAUAGUAGCAAACACUGAAUAGAGGAUAGCUUUUGCUGUAUUAUUCAUUACAGAAGAUUUAUCUGUAGAGUUCCAGUUUUAAGUUGCAAUUGUAAUAAGCCAUUUAACACAUACAAUAUUUUGACACUCUUCACCUCAUUUCUCAUGUUGUUAGGCUCUGUCCUAUCUCUGGAAGGCACUUCUCACAGUUUUAUAUGUGUCAGCAUAGGGUUUAUGUGGCUAGCUUGCUCUUUGUGCUCAUUUUUAUCACCUAGGCAGCAGUAUCUUGGAACUUUAGUUUUGGCAUUGUGUUCAUUUCCCUUCUAUAUCCUCUUUUCUUCCUACUUUUGCUGCUGCUUUUCUCAGUCUAUUGCCUUCAGCUGCCCUAUGGUUGCAGUUAAAAAAAAAAAAACAUCAUGUAUGUAGGUAUAUGACUUUGGUAUUAUGAGAACUGUGGUUCUGUGAUAAGAGCAGGGUCUUACCCUUGUCAGACUUUGACUCAUUAUUACUUAAUGGGAAAGUCAUUCUUGGAGUCUCUCAUCUGAAAAGGAGGUCAGCUCCUCAGGCUAGAGGGUGGGAUAGACUGGGGAGAGGGUGGUAGGAAGAACUCUGGUUUGUAAGAUGAAUUCUCCUUGACUCUUGGACCUGAGUGUGAGUAACAAGAUGUCCAGAAAGGAGCUGUCCUACUGUUUCUCUAGUAACAGAGAGGUGAGGUGUCCCAAUAACAGUAAGUUUGGUUUGGGAGGGGUAACUUGUUUUGAGUUGGUCAAUAUAUAAUGGAUCAAAGGGAAAGAGUGAGAGACUCCCCAGAUCAGUAAAUGAUAUAAUCUAAAAAGCAGUAACAAGAUGAAUAUUGCCACAAAGGAAAAAGUAAUUUGGCAAUGAGCUAAAAAAUAAUUUUUUUGUCCGUGUCUGUCUGAGCAUUACCUAUUGAAGAGAGGUUGAUUUAUUGGAGAUGGUAUCCUAGGGCAGGCAUAUUCUUAUAGUGGAAUGGAUACAACAUGAUAGCACAAACUUCUGAAACCAGUAAAUAACUCUUUGUCGUGAUUCCAGUUUACUGAGUGCAGAUUUGAUACCACUUGCUCUCCAGUGUAGCCCACCCAUGAAGACAGAUUGCAGUGAUCAGAGGUAUUCAGUGUUAAGAGAUGCCUGGGUGGCUCAGUCAGUUAAAUAUCUGACUUUGGCUUACGUCAUGAUCUUGGGGUCUUGGGAUCAAGUUCCGUGUCUGGCUCUGCACUUAGCAAGAAGUCUCCCUGUCUCUCUCCCUCUGCCCCUUCGCAUGUAUGCAUGCUUGCUCUCUCUCAAGUGAAUCUUUAAAGAAAAAGUAUACAGUGUUCAGUUGUCUUGGUAGUUUUUCAUUUUCUUGUAAACGACUAGUAAUAUAAUAAAAUAUCAUUUUGCUUUAUAUGAUUUAUUGCCUUUAAAUUUGUGUGGCCUCUUUGAGGUGUUUUUCCUGAGUCUGAUCAACUCUAGAAUUGUGAAAAGGUCUCUGGGCCUUAAGACUGAGGAUCCUAUCCUGGACUGCUGGUGUGUAUGGCGUUUGGCUGUGGCCAGCUAGCCUCUUCCCAGUGAUGUCUCAGCUUAUACUUUUAUAGUUGCCAAACAUGUCCUAUUAAUUUUGCUCCAUUUUAUAAUGCUAAACUUUGCACCUGUUUAUUCACUUAUCACAAUCAUAUAUGUGGAAAUUGGCUUGAAACUUUACAAUAUGAGAGAAACAAUUAUAUUUUUCCUCUAUUAAAAGUGAAAAGAGUUUUGUUUCUGAGGAAUUUGGCUUCAGAUGAUUUUUAUUUUGGGCUUGAUGUUAAAAAGAAUUAUGAGAGAGUAAACACAAUUAGUGACAUCUGGUUGCUGCAAGGAUCAGUAAUGUCUGAUACAUAGAUAUAUAUUUGGUAACAUAACUAAGUUUCAUUGGAUAAAACUAGAAGAAUAAAAACAAUUUUCAAAGCUGCUUGGUAACUGUUAUUUUGAGUCUACUACUAAACAGUUAUUUUGAGUCUACUACUAUCAUUUUUAAUGGGGUAGCCUUGUACUUUCGUGGAUUGGUUAAUCUUAAAAACCAGAUGGUUAGUUGUAGCAAAAUUUCAUAAGGAUUUUAUGUUCUGUGUUUUGCUAACAGCAAAAAGCAUAAGAAUUUAUUAACUAGGAAAGCUAAACAUUACCGUAUCUCAAUGAGAAAACAAGCAUAUACGUAAGAAUAAAAAUUGAUGAAUCAUUUUAUUUACCUAAUAAUUUACUGUCAUUACUCAAAAGGAACACUAGAGGGGAAAAUUAGAAAAAAAAUAGACCUUAGUACCAUUGUCUUCUACAAAGAGAAACAAUGGAGAAGAGGCAGGAAAAACAGUGCAAAAUAACAUGAUGAUAAAUUCAAAUGUUAGUAAUUACAAUAAAUGUAAGUAGACUAGAUGAUUCUGUUAAAAGAUAGAGUUUCUCAGAUUGGGUGGAAAAACCUAAAUCAAAGAAGAUGCUAGGUUUACAAGAAACACAUCUAAAACAUAAGGAUGCA
rnacentral:lncRNA from 1 species